CCUCCAUUUCUUGGCAUGCAUGUGGUCGUUCAGUACUCACGUAUGAAAUGUACGGAGGAAGAAAAAAGGCAGUGCUAUGUCUUCGGUACCGGUGUGUGUUAUCGUCUGCCGGUUCUAUCCUCAAUCGCUGUUACAUAC
rnacentral:snoRNA from 1 species